AGAGUUUGAUCCUGGCUCAGGAUGAACGCUAGCGGCAGGCCUAAUACAUGCAAGUCGAGGGGCAGCAGGUGUAGCAAUACAUGCUGGCGACCGGCGCACGGGUGCGUAACACGUAUACAAUCUGCCUCUUACUGGGAGAUAGCCCGGAGAAAUCCGGAUUAAUAUCCCAUAACAGCGGGGUUGGCAUCAACCCUUCUUAA
rnacentral:rRNA from 1 species